rfam:Dipodomys ordii contig_51893, whole genome shotgun sequence.
GGGGAGAUGGCUCAGUGGUAGAGCGCUUGCCUUGCAAGCAAGGGGCCCUGGGUUCGAUUCCUCAGCCCCA